AGUGAACGCUGGCGGUAGGCCUAACACAUGCAAGUCGAACGGCAGCACAGUAAGAGCUUGCUCUUACGGGUGGCGAGUGGCGGACGGGUGAGGAAUACAUCGGAAUCUACUUUUUCGUGGGGGAUAACGUAGGGAAACUUACGCUAAUACCGCAUACGACCUACGGUUGAAAGCAGGGGAUCUUCGGACCUUGCGCGAUUGAAUGAGCCGAUGUUGGAUUAGCUAGUUGGCGGGGUAAAGGCCCACCAAGGCGACGAUCCGUAGCUGGUCUGAGAGGAUGAUCAGACACACUGGAACUGAGACACGGUCCAGAAUCCUACGGGAGGCAGCAGUGGGGAAUAUUGGACAAUGGGCGCAAGACUGAUCCAGCCAUACCGCGUGGGUGAAGAAGGCAUUCGGGUUGUAAAGCCCUUUUGUUGGGAAAGAAAAGCAGCAGGUUAAUACCCCGCUGUUCUGACGGUACCCAAAGAAUAAGCACCGGCUAACUUCGUG
rnacentral:rRNA from 1 species